rnacentral:rRNA from 1 species
ACGAACGCUGGCGGCGUGCCUAAUACAUGCAAGUAGAACGCUGAAGAGAGGAGCUUGCUCUUCUUGGAUGAGUUGCGAACGGGUGAGUAACGCGUAGGUAACCUGCCUUGUAGCGGGGGAUAACUAUUGGAAACGAUAGCUAAUACCGCAUAACAAUGGAUGACCCAUGUCAUUUAUUUGAAAGGGGCAAAUGCUCCACUACAAGAUGGACCUGCGUUGUAUUAGCUAGUAGGUGAGGUAACGGCUCACCUAGGCGACGAUACAUAGCCGACCUGAGAGGGUGAUCGGCCACACUGGGACUGAGACACGGCCCAGACUCCUACGGGAGGCAGCAGUAGGGAAUCUUCGGCAAUGGGGGCAACCCUGACCGAGCAACGCCGCGUGAGUGAAGAAGGUUUUCGGAUCGUAAAGCUCUGUUGUAAGUCAAGAACGAGUGUGAGAGUGGAAAGUUCACACUGUGACGGUAGCUUACCAGAAAGGGACGGCUAACUACGUGCCAGCAGCCGCGGUAAUACGUAGGUCCCGAGCGUUGUCCGGAUUUAUUGGGCGUAAAGCGAGCGCAGGCGGUUUGAUAAGUCUGAAGUUAAAGGCUGUGGCUCAACCAUAGUUCGCUUUGGAAACUGUCGAACUUGAGUGCAGAAGGGGAGAGUGGAAUUCCAUGUGUAGCGGUGAAAUGCGUAGAUAUAUGGAGGAACACCGGUGGCGAAAGCGGCUCUCUGGUCUGUAACUGACGCUGAGGCUCGAAAGCGUGGGGAGCGAACAGGAUUAGAUACCCUGGUAGUCCACGCCGUAAACGAUGAGUGCUAGGUGUUGGAUCCUUUCCGGGAUUCAGUGCCGCAGCUAACGCAUUAAGCACUCCGCCUGGGGAGUACGACCGCAAGGUUGAAACUCAAAGGAAUUGACGGGGGCCCGCACAAGCGGUGGAGCAUGUGGUUUAAUUCGAAGCAACGCGAAGAACCUUACCAGGUCUUGACAUCCCGAUGCUAUUUCUAGAGAUAGAAAGUUACUUCGGUACAUCGGUGACAGGUGGUGCAUGGUUGUCGUCAGCUCGUGUCGUGAGAUGUUGGGUUAAGUCCCGCAACGAGCGCAACCCCUAUUGUUAGUUGCCAUCAUUCAGUUGGGCACUCUAGCGAGACUGCCGGUAAUAAACCGGAGGAAGGUGGGGAUGACGUCAAAUCAUCAUGCCCCUUAUGACCUGGGCUACACACGUGCUACAAUGGUUGGUACAACGAGUUGCGAGUCGGUGACGGCAAGCUAAUCUCUUAAAGCCAAUCUCAGUUCGGAUUGUAGGCUGCAACUCGCCUACAUGAAGUCGGAAUCGCUAGUAAUCGCGGAUCAGCACGCCGCGGUGAAUACGUUCCCGGGCCUUGUACACACCGCCCGUCACACCACGAGAGUUUGUAACACCCGAAGUCGGUGAGGUAACCUUUUGGAGCCAGCCGCCUAAGGUGGGAUAGAUGAUUGGGGUG